rnacentral:rRNA from 1 species
UACGUAGGGUGCGAGCGUUAAUCGGAAUUACUGGGCGUAAAGCGUGCGCAGGCGGUUCGUCAAGUCUGAUGUGAAAGCCCCGGGCUCAACCUGGGAACUGCAUUGGAUACUAGCGAGCUUGAGUGUGGCAGAGGGGGGUGGAAUUCCACGUGUAGCAGUGAAAUGCGUAGAGAUGUGGAGGAACACCGAUGGCGAAGGCAGCCCCCUGGGCUGACACUGACGCUCAGGCACGAAAGCGUGGGGAGCAAACAGG